GACGAAGGGGGCUAGCGUCGUUCGGAAUACUGGGCGUAAAGCGAGUGUAGGUGGUUGCCGUAGUCAGGUGUGAAAGCCUUGAGCUCAACUCAAGAAAUGCACUUGAUACUGGGCGACUAGAGGACCGGAGAGGAUAGUGGAAUUCCCAGUGUAGUGGUGAAAUACGUAGAGAUUGGGAAGAACACCAGUGGCGAAGGCGGCUAUCUGGACGGUUUCUGACACUAAGACUCGAAAGCGUGGGAGGCAAACAGG
rnacentral:rRNA from 1 species